CCCCGGCCGGGCCGGCCGGCUUCGCCCUCGGCGCGGGCGGACGGCGAACGGGCCGCGGCCGUGGCCGGGGAC
rnacentral:tRNA from 1 species